rnacentral:lncRNA from 1 species
CCCACGGAAGAAACGAGAGAGGAAUCUAGAGCAGCAUCGUCUCCCGCGCGUUCUCCAGGUAUUUGCACAGGCGCGGGACGCCCUCUUCCUCCAGGCCAGCGCUCCGGGACUUUGCACGGUAGGCAUCUCCCAUUGAGCCUGGGGUUUUGAGUCGCAGUGUCCGCUUCUGUCCAGGUCUCCAGGCCCGGGUGUGGCCUUCCAACGAGGCGCGGAGAAGCGGGACGCGCCAACCGGCCCCCCUCCGUUUCUGGCGCACCCAGAAGACAGGGUCCUCGGGGUCCGCCUCCGCGGGCGCGCCCGGCCCGCUCCGGCCCCACCCACCUCAGGCCCUGAGGCUAUGAUUGGCUGCGUGAACGCCAAUCAGGGCUCGGCUGGGCGCGGGCCGCAGGAACGCAGCCGGACUCGCCAGUUUGAAUGCCCGCUGGGUUAUUCUCAGCGCUCCGCGGGUGGAAAAGAGGGACGUCAUUUGUCCCUAAACAGAAUAACCUGAGACCGCUGGUACCAUGGCUGUGGACGUGUCGGAUCGUGGGAAUCCCUAGCGCUGGUCGCGCUCCUGAGUCCGCUUCCAAACCUCAUUCACGACCCG